rnacentral:lncRNA from 1 species
GGAAUUAGUCACACAGGUGAGGUUGGGAGUAGAUGAUCAGGUCAGGUAUAGUCCAGGUAGGUUAUACUACAGGUGUUGGAGUCAGGUGGGUCAGGUAGGUUAUACUACAGGUGUUGGAGUCAGGUGGGUCAGGUAGGUUAUACUACAGGUGUUGGAGUCAGGUGGGUCAGGUAUAGUCCAGGUAGGUUAUACUACAGGUGUUGGAGUCAGGUGGGUCAGGUAUAUCCAGGUAGGUAUACUAAACAGGUGGUUUGGAGUC